UUUGAAGAAGUGCUAUGAAAGAGACCUAACCUUUGGCGAAAUAUGGAUACGAAUAGGCAAAACUUAAACUUUAUAAGAAUGCUCUAUAUCGGGCAAUCCUUUCGACAUUCCAUACAAACACAGAGGCCGAAAUGUCAACUUGGGACUGAGACCGAGAGAGUUGCAUUCCUGACGCGACGUUGGUUGCAGGAUGUACAUGGCAGCAUUUCACAUCAAUGAAAACAGCCUAAAUACCCUAGAAGUGACCAAGACUGGAGAACCCAAGUGGGCAAUCAGCUACCCCUAGGCCUAAACCAAGAGGUCAAGCCAGUGAACAAGAAACCAACAGAGUAUGUGGAAUUCCUACUUAGGA